rnacentral:tRNA from 1 species
GGGAGUUUGGUUUAGUGGUAUUGAUUCUCGCUUAGGGUGUGAGAGAGGUCGUGGGUUCAAUUCCCCGCAACUCCCC